rnacentral:rRNA from 1 species
GGAUUAGAUACCCUGGUAGUCCACGCAGUAAACGAUGAAUACUAACUGUUGGCGAUAUAAUGUCAGUGGUAAAGCGAAAGCGUUAAGUAUUCCACCUGGGGAGUACGCCGGCAACGGUGAAACUCAAAGGAAUUGACGGGGGCCCGCACAAGCGGAGGAACAUGUGGUUUAAUUCGAUGAUACGCGAGGAACCUUACCCGGGCUUGAACGUAGAGAGACCGACUGGGAAACCAGUCUUCUAGCAAUAGCUGUCUACGAGGUGCUGCAUGGUUGUCGUCAGCUCGUGCCG